UCACUUUCAACAACGGAUCUCUUGGCUCUCGCAUCGAUGAAGAACGUAGCGAAGUGCGAUAAGUAGUGUGAAUUGCAGAAUUCCGUGAAUCAUCGAAUCUUUGAACGCAAAUUGCACUCCCUGGCAUUCCGGGGAGUAUGCCUGUUUGAGGGUCAGUU
rnacentral:rRNA from 1 species